rnacentral:rRNA from 1 species
UUCCCCUUGUUMCUGCGAGUGAMGCGGGAAAAGCUCAAUUUAAAAUCUGGCAGUUCUUUGUUGCUGCUCGAGUUGUAAUCUAGAGAAGUGCCUUCCGCGCUGGACCGUGUACAAGUCUCUUGGAAUGGAGCGUCGUAGAGGGUGACAAUCCCGUCUUUGACACGGACUACCAGGGCUUAUGUGAUGCGCUCUCGAAGAGUCGAGUUGUUUGGGAAUGCAGCUCAAAAUGGGUGGUAAAUUCCAUCUAAAGCUAAAUAUUGGCGAGAGACCGAUAGCGAACAAGUACCGUGAGGGAAAGAUGAAAAGAACUUUGAAAAGAGAGUUAAACAGUACGUGAAAUUGUUGAAAGGGAAACGAUUCAAGUCAGUCGCGUUGGCCGGUAAUCAACCCUUGCGAUUUAUUGCAAAGGCUUACUUUCUGGUUAACGGGUCAGCAUCAAUUUYGACCGUCAGAGAAAGGCUCGAUGAAUGUGGCAUCUUUGGAUGUGUUAUAGCUUCGAGUCGCAUGUGACGGUCGGGAUUGAGGAACUCGGCACGCCGAAAGGCCUGGGGCAUCCUUGCCCACGUAAACGUGCUUCGGAUGCUGGCGUAAUGGCUUGAACCGACCCGUCUUGAAACACGGACCAAGGAGUCUAACAUGCCUGCAAGUGUUUGGGUGGAAAACUCGAACGCGAAGUGAAAGUGAACUUUGUUGGGAUCCCUGUCGUGGGGAGCACCGACGCCCGGACCAGACCUUUUGUGACGGAUCCGCGGUUGAGCAUGCAUGUUGGGACCCGAAAGAUGGUGAACUAUGCCUGAAUAGGGUGAAGCCAGAGGAAACUCUGGUGGAGGCUCGUAGCGA